UGUUAACUAUGGGUUGUGCAC
ensembl:piRNA 21ur-11 ncRNA